AUUUGUAUGGCUAAGGAUGCUUUUUAAUGGUCAGAUUUAGCUUAGAAACGAUCUUUUGAGAGAUGAUGUUUUUGCAGCUACCUCCAAUGAUGAUGAUCUUAUAGAUCUUUUCUUUAAUAGCGCAGUAUUUAUAGAAGAUAUUGGUCCACCUCCAGUCUUCCUUCUCUUUCUUUUUGAAAGUUAGCAAACUCUUUCGAACAACUAAAACUUCUCCUCUAUCUCCAA
rnacentral:lncRNA from 1 species